GAUACGUUUUCCAGUUUUUAAACACUAAUAUUUGUGUUCAGCGAUGUCUCCCGAGCAAAACAGUACCCCCCAUGUACAGGUUUUAUAGCAUUUUUGAAAGUUACAAGGUCAAAUAUAUGGGUCAAAUAUUUUUACAUUGAAAAUGGCCAGGUUGGUUACGUUGCCUUUGAGAGCGUAUGGUAGCCCAGGAAUGAGAAUUACCCCCAAGAUGGCAUACCAUUUGCAAAAGAAGACAACCCAAGGUAUUGCAAAUGGG